rnacentral:rRNA from 1 species
CUUAAGCAUAUCAAUAAGCGGAGGAAAAGAAACCAACAGGGAUUGCCCUAGUAACGGCGAGUGAAGCGGCAACAGCUCAAAUUUGAAAUCUGGCGCAAGCCCGAGUUGUAAUUUGUAGAGGAUGCUUCUAGGUAGCGACCGGUCUAAGUUCCUUGGAACAGGACGUCAUAGAGGGUGAGAAUCCCGUAUGUGACCGGCCCGCACCUUCUACGUAGCUCCUUCGACGAGUCGAGUUGUUUGGGAAUGCAGCUCUAAAUGGGAGGUAAAUUUCUUCUAAAGCUAAAUACCGGCCAGAGACCGAUAGCGCACAAGUAGAGUGAUCGAAAGAUGAAAAGCACUUUGGAAAGAGAGUUAAAAAGCACGUGAAAUUGUUGAAAGGGAAGCGCUUACAACCAGACUUCUGGGCGGUGUUCCGCCGGUCUUUUGACCGGUCUACUCGCCGUCCCGAGGCCAACAUCAUCUGGGACCGCUGGAUAAGACCUCAGGAAUGUAGCUCCCCUCGGGGAGUGUUAUAGCCUGUGGUGAUGCAGCGCGUCUCGGGUGAGGUCCGCGCUUCGGCAAGGAUGUUGGCGUAAUGGUUGUCAGCGGCCCGUCUUGAAACACGGACCAAGGAGUCUAACAUCUAUGCGAGUGUUCGGGUGUCAAACCCCUACGCGUAAUGAAAGUGAACGGAGGUGGGAAGCGCAAGCUGCACCAUCGACCGAUCCUGAUGUCCUCGGAUGGAUUUGAGUAAGAGCAUAGCUGUUGGGACCCGAAAGAUGGUGAACUAUGCCUGAAUAGGGUGAAGCCAGAGGAAACUCUGGUGGAGGCUCGCAGCGGUUCUGACGUGCAAAUCGAUCGUCAAAUUUGGGUAUAGGGGCGAAAGACUAAUCGAACCAU